GAUCGCGUAGCUCAGUUGGCAGAGCAUUGGGCUAGUAUUCCAAAGGUCGUAGGUUCGAUUCCCACCGUGGCCG